GAAAUCCUGUGAUGUUCGUUAUCUUUAAACGUUUUGAGCCAACGUUUUUUGAACGGGAGCAUAUAUGUUGCUUUUUGGAUUACAUGCCUAAACGAUUAGGACUUAAGAAGAAAAGCACAGGGCACCCACCUGCUGGAGCAGGUUCAAAGCUUUAUUUGAAUACGGCAUACACGGGAUUUCU
rfam:Bacillus alcalophilus ATCC 27647 = CGMCC 1.3604 strain AV1934 contig00058, whole genome shotgun sequence.